GGGCGUUUAGUUUAGUGGUAAAACACCCCAUUCGCAGGAUCAACAAACAUUGGGGAGCUGGGGGUUCGAUUCCCCCAUCGUCCA
rnacentral:tRNA from 3 species